rnacentral:rRNA from 1 species
GGUGAACGCUGGCGGCGUGCUUAAGACAUGCAAGUCGAACGCAGUCUUCGGACUGAGUGGCGCACGGGUGAGUAACACGUAACUGACCUACCCCCAAGUCGCGAAUAACCAGCCGAAAGGAUGGCUAAUACGUGAUGUGAUGAUCCGCUGUGGCGGAUCAUUAAAGACUUGAUCGCUUGGGGAUGGGGUUGCGUUCCAUCAGCUAGUUGGUAAGGUAAAGGCUUACCAAGGCAACGACGGAUAGCCGGCCUGAGAGGGUGGCCGGCCACAGGGGCACUGAGACACGGGUCCCACUCCUACGGGAGGCAGCAGUUAGAAUCUUCCGCAAUGGGCGCAAGCCUGAUGGAGCGACGCCGCGUGAGGGAUGAAGGUUCUCGGAUCGUAAACCUCUGAACCAACGACGAAAGACCCGACAAGGGAGAUGACGGUAGUUGGGUAAUAGCACCGGCUAACUCCGUGCCAGCCGCCGCCGUAAAAC